rnacentral:rRNA from 1 species
CGCUGGCGGCGUGCCCAACACAUGCACGUCAACUUGACGGAAGGAGCAAUCUGACCGUAGAGUGGCGCAAGGGUGCGUAACGCGUAAGUAACUUGCCCAAGGUAAGGAAUAACGUCGAGAAAUCGGCGCUAAUACCUCAUAAUGCAGCGGAUCCGCAUGGAUAUGUUGUUAAAGGUUUACCGCCUUGGGAUAGGCUUGCGUCUGAUUAGCUAGUUGGUGUGGUAACGGCACACCAAGGCUACGAUCAGUAACUGGUCUGAGAGGAUGAUCAGUCACACUGGAACUGAGACACGGUCCAGACUCCUACGGGAGGCAGCAGUGAGGAAUAUUGGGCAAUGCUCGAAAGAGUGACCCAGCAACGCCGCGUGGAGGAUGAAGGUAUUCUAUAUCGUAAACUCCUGUGAGAGCAGACGAAAGACAGAUUAUUAAUCUGGAUGACUGUAUGCUCAGAGGAAGCCCCGGCUAACUACGUG